rnacentral:lncRNA from 10 species
UAAUGGCACCCUUUCUCCUAGAGCCAUAAUCAUGCUCCAGGAAUCAAGAGGUGGAAAUAGGAGUGGCACUCCCUAUCACCCCUAGUGACCCAUUGACAACAUUUUUGCUUCCAACUUUAUGCUCUGCUAACCUAGAGGUCCUAGUUACAAAGAAUACAAAGAAAGGCAUGUUUCCACCAGGAGACACAGCACUAAUCCCACUGGACUGGAAGUUAAGACAAAGAAUGCAAAGAAAGGCAUGCUUCCACCGGCAGACACAGCACUGAUUCCAUUGAACUGGAAGUUAAGACCAAUGCUCUGCAACUUCGGGCUCCUUCUGCUUCUGAAUCCAUAUGCAAAGAAGAGAGUCCCUGUGCAGCUGGGGUGAUGGAUCCUGGCUUCUAAGAAGAAAUUGGCCUAUACUACUCCACAGUGGAGACAGCACAUGCCUUCCUCACAUAGCCCUGUUCCUCUGGGUCUUCCAUCAUGAAGCUUCUUGGACGGAAUGUGCUUCCUCUUUGAAGAGUGUCUUCCAGGGGCUCUGACUGCCUCUUCCAAACUGAUUUCUAGGAUCCCUGCCCAGCUAUCCUCCUGGUCUCUUCACCACUGAAUUCCUGGAUUAAUUCCAUUUCUACUUAAAUCAAUCCCACGUCAUCCUUGUUUUCUAGAUUCCUUGUAUGAUUUACUAAAGAAAAUUGGUCUUUUAAAAUCAAUGUCAAUGUAUAAGGUAAAUUUUAUUAUUCUCAAU